rnacentral:lncRNA from 1 species
UAUUACAUAGGUACAUAAGAUUCUUUCCUGAUGGCCAUGUGAUGAUGUUGACAACCCCUGAAGAGCCUCAGUCCAUUGUUCCACGUUUAAGAACUAGGAAUACCAGGACUGAUGCAAUUCUACUGGGUCACUAUCGCUUGUCACAAGACACAGACAAUCAGACCAAAGUAUUUGCUGUAAUAACUAAGAAAAAAGAAGAAAAACCACUUGACUAUAAAUACAGAUAUUUUCGUCGUGUCCCUGUACAAGAAGCAGAUCAGAGUUUUCAUGUGGGGCUACAGCUAUGUUCCAGUGGUCACCAGAGGUUCAACAAACUCAUCUGGAUACAUCAUUCUUGUCACAUUACUUACAAAUCAACUGGUGAGACUGCAGUCAGUGCUUUUGAGAUUGACAAGAUGUACACCCCCUUGUUCUUCGCCAGAAUUUAUGAGCAGAUUUCUGUCACAUAAGUCGUCUUCUGCUUGAGUAUCCUAAUAUUUCAAUGCAUCAGGGGAGCGCUCCACUGGAUAAGCAUUUUAUUUCCCGCAUGGCAUAAUGUUUUUGCACUAAAGGCUCAAAGUGUGAGAACCUGUUCUGGAUUUGUUUGAAAUUAUUUCACCAAUAAAGAUCAUAAAUAAAUGUUUCUUUCAA